rnacentral:snoRNA from 1 species
CUGCAUGUUAAAAAAAAAAAAAUAAUUCUGCUCCUCAUUCCCAUAAGGAGCAUGAAUACAUAUAUAACAUGCUACAGAAAGCAAGGAGUCUUCAGGGCUGCCAGUCUUGUAGUAAAGGCUGAGUGGUAGUAUAUGUCUCCUACAUCU